rnacentral:rRNA from 1 species
GAUGAACGCUGGCGGCGUGCCUAAUACAUGCAAGUCGAGCGAACGGACGAGAAGCUUGCUUCUCUGAUGUUAGCGGCGGACGGGUGAGUAACACGUGGAUAACCUACCUAUAAGACUGGGAUAACUUCGGGAAACCGGAGCUAAUACCGGAUGAGAUUUUGAACCGCAUGGUUCAAAAGUGAAAGACGGUCUUGCUGUCACUUAUAGAUGGAUCCGCGCUGCAUUAGCUAGUUGGUAAGGUAACGGCUUACCAAGGCAACGAUGCAUAGCCGACCUGAGAGGGUGAUCGGCCACACUGGAACUGAGACACGGUCCAGACUCCUACGGGAGGCAGCAGUAGGGAAUCUUCCGCAAUGGGCGAAGGCCUGACGGAGCAACGCCGCGUGAGUGAUGAAGGUCUUCGGAUCGUAAAACUCUGUUAUUAGGGAAGAACAUAUGUGUAAGUAACUGUGCACAUCUUGACGGUACCUAAUCAGAAAGCCACGGCUAACUACGUG